GUUUUCCCUCCCUUUCCCAAAGGACCUUUGCCCAGAACUGCAGGAACAUCGAGGUGCUGAACCUCAAUGGCUGCACCAAGAUCACGGACGCCACCUGCACGAGCCUCAGCAAGUUCUGCUCCAAACUCAGGCACCUGGACUUGGCCUCCUGCACCUCCAUAACCAACCUGUCCCUGAAAGCACUGAGCGAGGGAUGCCCGCUGCUGGAACAGCUCAUCAUCUCCUGGUGCGACCAAGUGACCAAGGACGGGAUCCAGGCCCUGGUCAGGGGCUGUGGGGGGCUCAAAGCCCUGUCCCUGAAGGGCUGCACCCAGCUCGAGGAUGAGGCCCUGAAGUACAUUGGAGCACAUUGCCCCGAGCUGGUGACUUUAAACCUCCAAACCUGCUUGGUAAGUGAGGCUUCCCAAC